rnacentral:rRNA from 1 species
UAACACGUGGAUAACCUACCUAUAAGACUGGGAUAACUUCGGGAAACCGGAGCUAAUACCGGAUAAUAUUUUGAACAGCAUGGUUCAAAAGUGAAAGACGGUCUUGCUGUCACUUAUAGAUGGAUCCGCGCUGCAUUAGCUAGUUGGUAAGGUAACGGCUUACCAAGGCAACGAUGCAUAGCCGACCUGAGAGGGUGAUCGGCCACACUGGAACUGAGACACGGUCCAG